GACGAACGCUGGCGGCGUGCUUAACACAUGCAAGUCGAACGGAAAGGCCCUGCUUUUGUGGGGUGCUCGAGUGGCGAACGGGUGAGUAACACGUGAGUAACCUGCCCUUGACUUUGGGAUAACUUCAGGAAACUGGGGCUAAUACCGGAUAGGAGCUCCUGCUGCAUGGUGGGGGUUGGAAAGUUUCGGCGGUUGGGGAUGGACUCGCGGCUUAUCAGCUUGUUGGUGGGGUAGUGGCUUACCAAGGCUUUGACGGGUAGCCGGCCUGAGAGGGUGACCGGCCACAUUGGGACUGAGAUACGGCCCAGACUCCUACGGGAGGCAGCAGUGGGGAAUAUUGCACAAUGGGCGGAAGCCUGAUGCAGCAACGCCGCGUGCGGGAUGACGGCCUUCGGGUUGUAAACCGCUUUCGCCUGUGACGAGGCGUGAGUGACGGUAAUGGGUAAAGAAGCGCCGGCUAACUACGUG
rnacentral:rRNA from 1 species